rnacentral:rRNA from 1 species
AUUACUGGGCGUAAAGAGCUCGUAGGUGGUUUGUCGCGUCGUCUGUGAAAUCCCGGGGCUUAACUUCGGGCGUGCAGGCGAUACGGGCAUAACUUGAGUGCUGUAGGGGAGACUGGAAUUCCUGGUGUAGCGGUGAAAUGCGCAGAUAUCAGGAGAGAACACCGAUGGCGAAAGCGAGUCUCUGGGCAGUAACUGACGCUGAGGAGCGAAAGCAUGGGUAGCGAACAGGAUUAGAUAACCCUGGUAGUCCAUGCCCGUAAACGGUGGGCGCUAGGUGUAGGGGGCUUCCACGUCUUCUGUGCCGUAGCUAACGCAUUAAGCGCCCCGCCUGGGGAGUACGGCCGCAAGGCUAAAACUCAAAGGAAUUGACGGGGGCCCGCACAAGCGGCGGAGCAUGUGGAUUAAUUUGGAUGCAACGCGAAGAACCUUACCUGGGCUUGACAU